UACGAAGGGGGCGAGCGUUGUUCGGAUUUACUGGGCGUAAAGGGCGCGCAGGCGGCGGUUUUUGUCAGGCGUGAAAGCCCCGGGCUUAACCUGGGAACUGCGCUUGAAACGGGAUCGCUAGAGUUCGGGAGAGGAGAGUGGAAUUCCCAGUGUAGAGGUGAAAUUCGUAGAUAUUGGGAAGAACACCGGUGGCGAAGGCGGCUCUCUGGACCGAGACUGACGCUGAGGCGCGAAAGCGUGGGGAGCAAACAGG
rnacentral:ncRNA from 3 species